rnacentral:rRNA from 1 species
AGAGUUUGAUCCUGGCUCAGGAUGAACGCUAGCGACAGGCUUAACACAUGCAAGUCGAGGGGCAUCAUGAGGUAGCAAUACCUUGAUGGCGACCGGCGCACGGGUGAGUAACGCGUAUGCAACCUGCCCGAUACCGGGGUAGUAGCCCACUGGAAACGUAGGAUUAACACCCCACUAGUACUUUUAUUCCUGCCUGGGAGUGUGAGUUAAAUGUUCAAGGUAUCGGAUGGGCAUGCGUCCUAUUAGUUAGUUGGCGGGGUAACAGCCCACCAAGACGAUGAUAGGUAGGGGUUCUGAGAGGAAGGUCCCCCACAUUGGAACUGAGACACGGUCCAAACUCCUACGGGAGGCAGCA